CCUACGGGUGGCUGCAGUGGGGAAUAUUGGGCAAUGGACGCAACCCUGACCCAGCAACGCCGCGUGAAUGAAGAAGGCUCUCGGGUUGUAAACUUCUUUUAUCAGGGACGAAGCAAGUGACGGUACCUGAUGAAUAAGCCACGGCUAACUACGUGCCAGCAGCCGCGGUAAUACGUAGGUGGCAAGCGUUAUCCGGAUUGACUGGGUGUAAAGGGCGUGUAGGCGGGAAAGUAAGUCAGAUGUGAAAACCAUGGGCUCAACCCGUGGACUGCAUUCGAGACUGUGGGUCUUGAGUACUGGAGAGGCAGACGGAAUUCCUAGUGUAGCGGUGAAAUGCGUAGAUAUUAGGAGGAACACCAGUGGCGAAGGCGGUCUGCUGGACAGCAACUGACGCUGAGGCGCGAAAGCGUGGGGAGCAAACAGGAUUAGAUACCCUUGUAGUC
rnacentral:rRNA from 1 species